rnacentral:lncRNA from 1 species
UUCCCUGUGGAACUGGAGUGGAGAGAGAUCUUUGUUAUCCCUCUGGAAAUCUUUUAACAUCUCCCAUCAGUUCUGUGAUUUGACUCUGAUCUGUCCUGAAUGCAGCAACUGCUGAGGUUUAGUCUGGGCACUGCCUGGUCUCUGCCAACACCAAUAUCAGGCUUUUCCCCUUGAAGUUCAGCUGUAAAAUAGGGGGGGGAAACCCCACAUUCUUCAUCUCCUGCCCCAAAAAGCUGUGCAGAAGAAGCCAGAAAAUUAUAUUGCACCAAAUACCUAUUCCUGUUUUAUGGGUUUAUCUCCACAUUCUGGGAAAUUGCAUAAUUAAAUGUCAUAUUUAAUAUAAAAAAUAAUAGGACAGAUGAUAUCAUAUCCUUAAAGCUAACUAAAUUUUAUAUUGUGCAGUCUUGCUUAAUCAAAGUUUCAUUUCCAUUUGUUCAGGGCAUAUUUUGUCACUUUUUUUUUUUUUUUUUUUUUUACUGGCAAUUUUCUGUAGAUCUCAUAGAUGGAUCCAACCCAGAGGUCUCUGAAGAACAGGGGACUCAGGGC